rnacentral:piRNA from 1 species
UAUCGGGUUUCUGAACCCUGGGCA